ACUAAAGCAGGCUUGACAUUCAAAUUCUCUUUCACCGCAUUAAAUGGAAUAUCUUUUCGCUGUCGCCGCCGAGUAAUGUCUGCCUUAUGGGCGAGUCAAUCUCGAGUCAAGUUCAUCUCCUCGACUGCCUUUUUCGCUCCCUCGGCUGUCGCACACGCCUGACUGGCCUCCUCUGGUUCCCAAAAACAAUUGACACUUGCCGACAAUCUGCAACCAGCAUCAACGUCUCGCAGUGCCAACCAACCCAUCACCCCAUCCCCCCCCUGGAAAGCCACUCCCCCCACCCACAGAAUAUGCAUUGUCAUGCGGCUAUGCUGCAUUUUUACCCAGUUUUGCAAGGAAAGAGCAAAGGAGCCUGGGAUCCAAAGAGAAGACCGAAGAAAGUGAGUAGCGUGGAAAAUGGCACUCGAAAGCUGCGGAAAAGUCGUGAUUGCAGUCGAAAACGCUUAGCAAGACGACAAAGGGGCGUGGCUGUGGGGGGGCGGAGAGUGUGGGAAAGCGGGGGGAAGUGGGCACACGCUCAAAGCGAGCCAUAAGAAAAUAAAGCGAACGGCAAACAUGGAGAAAUUGAAGUGAAGUCAAGUCUCGGAUAGCUGCAGCCACUGAGAACUUGAGACCAAGGUGAGGAAAGGCAUUGUUAGAUGCCUUCGCUGUUCAAACGGACAUGUGUAGUGCACUGAAAACAAACAAUUUAUAAUGAAACUGAUUAAAAUCCAUUUAUAUCAAACUUA